rnacentral:rRNA from 1 species
UCCUACGGGAGGCAGCAGUAGGGAAUCUUCCGCAAUGGACGAAAGUCUGACGGAGCAACGCCGCGUGAGUGAUGAAGGCUUUCGGGUCGUAAAACUCUGUUGUUAGGGAAGAACAAGUGCUAGUUGAAUAAGCUGGCACCUUGACGGUACCUAACCAGAAAGCCACGGCUAACUACGUGCCAGCAGCCGCGGUAAUACGUAGGUGGCAAGCGUUAUCCGGAAUUAUUGGGCGUAAAGCGCAUGCAGGUGGUUUGUUAAGUCAGAUGUGAAAGCCCGGGGCUCAACCUCGGAAUUGCAUUUGAAACUGGCAAACUAGAGUACUGUAGAGGGGGGUAGAAUUUCAGGUGUAGCGGUGAAAUGCGUAGAGAUCUGAAGGAAUACCAGUGGCGAAGGCGGCCCCCUGGACAAAGACUGACGCUCAGAUGCGAAAGCGUGGGGAGCAAACAGGAUUAGAUACCCUGGUAGUCCACGCCGUAAACGAUGUCUACUUGGAGGUUGUGGCCUUGAGCCGUGGCUUUCGGAGCUAACGCGUUAAGUAGACCGCCUGGGGAGUACGGUCGCAAGAUUAAAACUCAAAUG